AGGAGUGGAGCCUGCGGCUUAAUUUGACUCAACACGGGAAACCUCACCAGGCCCGGACACCGGAAGGAUUGACAGAUUGAGAGCUCUUUCUUGAUUCGGUGGGUGGUGGUGCAUGGCCGUUCUUAGUUGGUGGAGCGAUUUGUCUGGUUAAUUCCGAUAACGAACGAGACUCUAGCCUGUUAACUAGGCGUAUUUCCGACAUCUCAAAGGCCCGCCGUCCCGGCGCGCGUCGUGGUCGCGCGUGGUUUUUACUGUCGGCGUACAAAUUAUUCUUCUUAGAGGGACAGGCGGCUUCUAGCCGCACGAGAUUGAGCAAUAACAGGUCUGUGAUGCCCUUAGAUGUUCUGGGCCG
rnacentral:rRNA from 1 species